AUUGAACGCUGGCGGCAGGCCUAACACAUGCAAGUCGAACGGUAGCACAGAGAGCUUGCUCUCGGGUGACGAGUGGCGGACGGGUGAGUAAUGUCUGGGAAACUGCCCGGUGGAGGGGGAUAACUACUGGAAACGGUAGCUAAUACCGCAUAACGUCGCAAGACCAAAGUGGGGGACCUUCGGGCCUCACACCAUCGGAUGUGCCCAGAUGGGAUUAGCUAGUAGGUGGGAUAAUGGCUCACCUAGGCGACGAUCCCUAGCUGGUCUGAGAGGAUGACCAGCCACACUGGAACUGAGACACGGUCCAGACUCCUACGGGAGGCAGCAGUGGGGAAUAUUGCACAAUGGGCGCAAGCCUGAUGCAGCCAUGCCGCGUGUAUGAAGAAGGCCUUCGGGUUGUAAAGUACUUUCAGCGGGGAGGAAGGCGGUGAAGUUAAUAGCUUCACCGAUUGACGUUACCCGCAGAAGAAGCACCGGCUAACUCCGUGCCAGCAGCCGCAGUAA
rnacentral:rRNA from 1 species